UACGGAGGAUCCGAGCGUUAUCCGGAUUUAUUGGGUUUAAAGGGUGCGUAGGCGGAAUAGCAAGUCAGUGGUGAAAGUUUGCAGCUUAACUGUAAAAUUGCCAUUGAAACUGCUGUUCUUGAGUACAGUAGAGGUAGGCGGAAUGUGUAGUGUAGCGGUGAAAUGCAUAGAUAUUACACAGAACACCAAUUGCGUAGGCAGCUUACUGGAGUGUCACUGACGCUGAGGCACGAUAGCGUGGGGAUCAAACAGG
rnacentral:rRNA from 1 species